rnacentral:rRNA from 1 species
UACAGAGGUCUCAAGCGUUGUUCGGAUUCAUUGGGCGUAAAGGGUGCGUAGGCGGCGCGGUAAGUCGGGUGUGAAAUCUUGGAGCUUAACUCCGAAACUGCAUUCGAUACUGCCGUGCUUGAGGACUGGAGAGGAGACUGGAAUUUACGGUGUAGCGGUGAAAUGCGUAGAUAUCAGGAGGAACACCAGUGGCGAAGGCGGUGCUCUGGGCCGGAACUGACGCUGAUGAGCGAAAGCGUGGGGAGCAAACAGG